UUAGAUUGUAAUUUUAGAUCCUAAUUUAGUUUCUAUUAUUAGAUAUACAUAAUAUUUAUAAUUUCAAAAUUUAUUUAAAUAAUUUAUUUUCAAUUAUUAUUAUAUAUGUUUAAAUUUGUAUUAACGUAUUAAUUAGUAAUAAUAUUAAAUAUUAAUAAAAAAUGUGCCAGCAAUAGCGGUUAUACAUUUUAAUAUAAACUAAAAGAUCAAUUUAAUUAAAUUAAUUAAAAUUAAAUAAAAUUUUUAUUUUAAGAUUAAAUUUAAAUAAAUUAAUUAUUUAAAAAUCAGUAUAUAUAAUUGUAAAUUUACUAUUAAACUAGGAUUAGAUACCCUAUUAUAAAUAUUAUUAAUUAAAAAAAAUUAAAAGAUUAAAUGUUAAAACAUUAAAUUUAAAAAAUUUGGCGGUAUUUUUUCUAAUUAGAGGAAUUUGUUUAUUAAUAGAUACUCCACUUUAAAAUAUACUUAACUUAAUUACUUAAAUAUUUCUGUUUAGAUUUUACUUAGUAGUAAAAAUUCAUAAUAAUUUAUUAUAAAUUAAUAAUUCAAGUCAAAACCUAGUUUAUAGUUAAGAAUAAAUGAAUUACAAUAUUUAAAAUAUUUUACUAUUAAAAUAUUUAAUUAGAAUUUAAAAUUAAAAUAAAAAAAUUAUUUUAUUUAAAAAAAGUUCAAAAAUAUGUACAUAUCGCCCGUCAAUUUUAUUUAAAUAAAUAAAGUAAGUCGUAACAAAGUAAAAAUACUGGAAAGUGUUUUUUGAACUAA
rnacentral:ncRNA from 1 species